rnacentral:rRNA from 1 species
UACGUAGGUGGCGAGCGUUGUCCGGAUUUACUGGGCGUAAAGGGAGCGUAGGCGGACUUUUAAGUGAGAUGUGAAAUACUCGGGCUCAACUUGAGUGCUGCAUUUCAAACUGGAAGUCUAGAGUGCAGGAGAGGAGGAUGGAAUUCCUAGUGUAGCGGUGAAAUGCGUAGAGAUUAGGAAGAACACCAGUGGCGAAGGCGAUUCUCUGGACUGUAACUGACGCUGAGGCUCGAAAGCGUGGGGAGCAAACAGG